rnacentral:rRNA from 1 species
CACGCCGUAAACGAUGUCAACUAGCCGUUGGGUCCCUUGAGGACUUAGUGGCGCAGCUAACGCAAUAAGUUGACCGCCUGGGGAGUACGGCCGCAAGGUUAAAACUCAAAUGAAUUGACGGGGGCCCGCACAAGCGGUGGAGCAUGUGGUUUAAUUCGAUGCAACGCGAAGAACCUUACCUACCCUUGACAUCCAGAGGACUUUCCAGAGAUGGAUUGGUGCCUUCGGGAACUCUGAGACAGGUGC